rnacentral:lncRNA from 1 species
AACUGCUCUUAAAGAUAUUGGCUCAGCCGAGAACAGCUCGUGGAGUACCUCUUAGCACACACCCACAUGAACAAACUGUAAAGGUAGAGGCCAAGAACACCAACACCAGCUAGAACAAGCAAUUAUUUAACUCGGAACCAGCCUGUACACAAUGCCAGACCAAGCAAAAACAGGCUGCAACCUCCGCACUCCCUGACCAGUAGCCC